UAGGGAAUAUUGCACCAUGGACGAAAGUCUGAUGCAGCAACGCCGCGUGAGUGACGAAGGCCUUCGGGUUGUAAAACUCUUUUCAAGGGGAAGAGGAAGGACGGUACCCUUGGAAUAAGCAUCGGCUAACUACGUGCCAGCAGCCGCGGUAACACGUAGGAUGCAAGCGUUAUUCGGAUUUACUGGGCGUAAAGCGCGUGUAGGCGGUUAGGAGAGUUGGAUGUGAAAGCUCCCGGCUUAACUGGGAGAGGUCGUUCAAAACUUCCUGACUAGAGUUUGGUAGAGGAAAAUGGAAUUCCGGGUGUAGUGGUGAAAUGCGUAGAUAUCCGGAGGAACACCAGUGGCGAAAGCGAUUUUCUGGACCGAUACUGACGCUCAGACGCGAAAGCUAGGGUAGCAAACGG
rnacentral:rRNA from 1 species